UGUUAAAAAGCUGCGUACCGCGCAUGCGCACAGAGCGCAAGACGUGGACGCUCCUGGAACAGCUGCUGCUGUAGUGGAACAGAACGGGGUUCUAGCUAAAUCGGUUCUCUGCCAAGAUGAUCUCCCUCACUGACUCGCAGAAAAUCGGGAUGGGAUUGACAGGCUUCGGAGUGUUUUUCCUGUUCUUUGGAAUGAUUCUGUUUUUUGACAAAGCGCUCCUCGCGAUUGGAAACAUCCUGUUUGUGGUGGGCUUAGCGUUCGUCAUCGGCCUGGAGAGGACCUUCAGGUUCUUCUUCCAGAAGCACAAGAUGAAAGCCACCAGCUUCUUCCUCGGAGGGGUCUUCGUGGUGCUGAUCGGGUGGCCCAUCAUUGGAGUGGUUCUAGAGUUUUAUGGCUUUUUCCUUUUAUUCAGGGGUUUCUUCCCAGUGGUUAUUGGCUUCAUCAGAAGGAUACCGGUCCUGGGCUCCUUGCUGAAUCUGCCCUUCGUUAGUGGGCCUUCGUAAGGCUGAGAGGACAAUCAGCGAACUUGGUCAGUCACUGCUUCACCCCCCCUGCAUUACGUGGACAAAGUGGGAGAGAGCAACAACAUGGUGUAAAGGAAACUGCACUCGUCUUUCUACUUAUUUAUGAUGGAUUUCCUAAAAUAGCAUCAACUCCUAAACAGUCAAACCAAAUAUUUUUAAGAUCCUGUUAUGGACGUUUUUCCAUACGGACAUCUUUCCAGCUAAAAGGAAGUGUCAGUGUUUCCCCCCCCCGACACAAAAACAAAGGAACUGUGUGGGAAAUACUGAAGAAGACCGCUCAUGGAGCUUCAUCACAUGGUCUGACACAGCCUUACCCCCCCCAAAACAUGUCCUAAAGCCCACUGAAACCCUCUGCGUGUCAGUGGUGGGAAUGCCACGUGGGACGUGAUUAGUGUUCCUGACUGAUUUCUGAAGCAGAACCUGGAUUCUGCGACACUGACGGCUCUUUUGCAUUGCCGUGCCUUUGGUCCUGCUUACGGAGUGAAGGGAGCUGCAUCGCUUUGUCAUGAAUGGCUUGUUCUCGCUGAGCUUGUGCAGAGGCCGCCCCACGCGGCAGGUACAGCCCAGGCCUCUGAGCGAGCUGGUCUUUCGUCACUACUCCUUUUUAUAAGUUGAGCUGCUAUUGACUGGUCGUUCAACUGCACAAAACUUUGUAAAUACAGAUUAAAAAAAGAGAAAACAACAA